GAGGAUUUAGGAAAGUGAAUUCCAACAUUAUUGAAGCAAAAUUGGUGAAGUUGAAUGAGGAUUGGAGAUGGCGUGUAACCUACUUACACAUAGAUGGAGACUCGGGAUGGCUGAUCUACACAGGCGUGGGCACCAUGUUUAUUACUCUUUGUUACCCAGCAUAAUUUCCGUUUAUAAAUUUAGCUAGCGGCCGUGCACAUCUUGAGGUGUCCGUCAACUCCAAACACAAGCCCCAUUCCCCUGUAUGACUAAAUUCAGAAAUAGUUCCUUUAAAUGUUGGAAAUGUUCUUGGUACUAAAGACAAUGUUGCAGCAAAGAAGUGGGUAUGACUUAUUGAUGACCAGGUGAUGAAUAUAUUGGUAGGGAUACAUGUAAUGGACCAUAUUUUUCACCAUUCCCAUAUGGCUAUGGACUUGAACACCUAUGGAAGAAGAAGAUGUGUAGCCAAAUACUUCUAGUAUGUAGCAGCCAAGGUGAUAUGUAGGAGCCAAGGUGAUACUGAGGAACUUCUUAGUUCAUACCAAUUACAUGAGUAUAGAGGACAAGUUUGUUAAAUGUUCAUGUUUUGUUAUUGCCAGUGACUUGAUAUGCAUGUGUUCUGAUGAUCCAACAAACACUGCCUCUUUUGGUGAUCACCCACCUUUUGGAGCAUGUUGAACUUUGAUUUCAAUCCAUGUCCGUGUCUUUAUGAUCAGUCAUUGACAUUGUGAGACU